AUGACCCAAUUAAUUUGCUACUUUCUUCUGAAAUUUGUGCUCAUAAGUGCUGCUCUUGUCGUCACUGUCAAACUGAUCUCCUUUGUGUGAUCCCUUGUAGUUUUUCUGUACCCUUCUCCCUGCACAUGCUUGAUCACUUUUUGUUGCUCUUCCCUGUCUCCAUUCCUCUACAGUGGCACUGUCUUUUGCUAUAUGUGCCUGGCUGUCUAUUGCUUAUGCCGCAUGUUCACUGUAAUGAUUUCCUUCGCCAGAUACGUGAAUUAUUAAUUGCUAAAAAAACUUUUAUCUGCAGGGUCUCCUGGAAAUUCAUCCACAGCUGGAAACCAAAAUUGUGCUUCAUCCCAGACCACAGCUUAUCUCCACAUCAAAGCCUCAUAUCACCAUUACAUCUCCAGUCUCACUCACGUUCGCUCUGAACAGAAAAAAAAAAAAGAACAGUUGCUGCACUUCACAAGGCAAGAAUCCAUCUCAUCAUUUUCUCCUGGGGGGGGUAUUCUGUAAGAGUACACCUAGUGGGCUGUCCAUUUCGGCCACUGCUGAUUGGAUUCAGCUCUGUGAGAGGAGGAGACGAGCAGCCCUAGCCAAUCAGUAGCGGCCGAAAUGGACAGUCCACUAGGUGGGCUCUUACAGAAUACUCCUCCCCACCCCCCUGCUCACCACAUCUUGCCUGCUGCUUUCUCUUGUCAUGUAUGACUUUGCACAUACUUUUCGUUCAUGUUCUCCUUUCUGCUUUGGCACUACACCUAUGCUUUCUUUUUUUUUUUGUUCAAGCAAUAGCUCUUCAUUGCCAUUGCUAUUUUCUCGGCCUUUGCGUAUUCUAUUGCAGUCACUAGCAUCAUACUUACUAAUCAGUGCGGAAGCAAUGGAAGACACAUGGAAGGGCACUGGACGAGUGCUGUCUAAUAACUGAAAUUUAUUGAACACUAGCAUCAAAUGUCUCUUACCUUUGGUUGCUCCAUAUAACUUGCUAGAAAUGCAAUAGAAAUUUUCAUCAUAGGGCAUUCAGUCUUGGAGCAUACUGAAAUUAUAGCUAUUUGCUUUGUGAUGAAGUAUUGCUUUAGUAAAAAACAACUAAUUAACUUGGCAAGUUGUUUCCAAAGGCUACAUCCUUUGCAUGUCCAAAUGUCCACACCUUGCAAGUUCCUAAAGAACUUCACAGCUUCAAAGGCUUUUGUUUCAUAAUUUUGCAGCUUAAUUUAGCAUUUUACCCCCGUUGUUCAUCUCAUUAUUGUGGUUGUUGUGUGACGGUACCGAACUUAGACCUUAGCAUGAAGCAGUGCUUAAAAACUGUUGUGCUCUUACACGCUUUAUCAAAUCACUGCUUUGUUUUAAUGUUACUGGUGCUGUGGCUUUGGUGUUGGCUGCUAAGCCCAAGGCCGUGCGAUCAAAUCCAAGCCCCUGCGGCCACAUUUCGAUCGGGGCAAAAUGCAAAAAAUGCUGUGCGCCUUGCAUUGGGUGCAUGUUAAACCCAGGUAGUCAGAAUUAAUCCAGUUUCUCAUUAUUGCAUCCCUCAUCAUCAUUUAAUGAUUUUGGCAUGUAAAACCACUGAACUUAAUUUUGAAGUAUUGUCUUUGCCCAGUACAAAUCUGGAUUUUGGAUGUCACUGCAAAUGUAACCAAUACACAAAUUUAAAUACUUUGUCAUCUAAAGAAAAAUGGGACACUAUAAAAUGCAGUAAUCGCCAUUAUGUGCCUUGCAGCCAGAACAAUAUCAGCACGCUAGCAAGCACCAUCGCCAUUGCCUGUUGCUUGACGACUCCAUUACACCUCGCCACAGUCAAACAGAACAGCUUUCACCUCCAACUUUUGUCCACUCUCCUUUGCCUGUUGUCUAAUCAUCUCGCCAAAUUCUAUGGUUGCUAUCCUGUUCUCCAGCUGUGAAUCGUGGUUGAACCACUUCAAGCGUCUGUCGACUUGUUUAUCUGACACAGUGAAGUAAAAGUGUACUUACUCACUGUGAAGUAAAAAUGCACUGCAGUGAUGUUGCAGUGAUACUCUUGCCAGAAUAACCUACUUUUCAUGAAACCAGAGUAGUAGUCAGAAGACUGGCAUUUAUGCCAGCUGCAUUGCCAAGCUCCUGCACAAGAGCAGAGCUUAGCAUCUGAGCAUUCGCAUCAUUCUGAGUAUUCUUGCAUAUCAUUUUAGCUCGUUAAACCUUGCUACAAGACAUUAAUUUUCAGCAGCCAAGCCUGACAGCUUUGGUCAAUCUUUCGUGCUCUGAGCUGGUUUGAUGCAAUACUUUUAACGGAAUUUCUUUAUUGCUGUUUAUUAUGUGGUCAGUGACGGGAUUUUUUUUUAUGCAAGAAUGUUAAAUGGUUCCUUCAGUGAAAAAGCCGGCAGCACCUGUAGCAGCAAAACGGUGCCUAAUUUCCCGUUGACUGUGACGCCAUGUGAGCACACGAGGCGCGCUCAUGACACUAGCUUGCAUUUGCUGGCUCGUGUCUCAGCAGAGGAAAGCGAGUGAAGGGGAACAUCUGCUGCUGCGCUACUUCGCGAGGGGAGAGUGCAUUGCUACGACAAAACAUCACCUUCCCUCUCGCAAGCCUGUGUUACCACCUGUUCCUUGUCUACUCAAGCUCUUGUGUGUGUUCUAACUGCGCCUCGGUGAGGCUAAGCUAAAUCAAUAUGUGCCAAGCGUCUUAACGUGCCCGCUUGCCCGCGAGGAGUUCAUAACUCGGACUGCUCAGUGGCGUUCAGUUGGACAUUAAAGUAUUCACAACUCAUAAGAAGUGCUUAGGUAUCCUCGGAUUUUCUUCGUACUUAAUGCACAAACUUCGAAGUCAUUUUUCCUGGCGAAAUGAGUUAAAUAUCAUCGUCCUUUGUCUGCUGUCCGGCCUUUGUGUGAGCCUUAUACAUCUUCGCAGCCACUCCUGUCAUGCACAGUAAUUUGUGUACUUGUGCUUGUAUCUUUAAUGGCAUAUGAUUAAUUAAUGCAUUUUAUUUGCAUGAUCCAACUAAACAUGAUCUCAAAAAGCUUCACUUGACUGCUCACUUGUCCCUGUGGCUACAUUGUGUGGAUGUACUAUCAGCGUCAAAUGAAACGCAAACAGCAGAGUGCAUGCCUGUAGCAUCACUGAAUGUAUAGUGCACACACUUGGCCAAUCAUCACCCUCACAGGCGUGCACAUCUGGUUCACAACACUGUGCAAUGAUGCCCUAUACUGAGAUAUUUUUCUUUCUGUUUUGCUUCUUGCUUUCUUAGAUUUUUGGUUUUUUUUUGCUUUGAAAUAAAAGGAAAGCAUAACAGAAAGAAAAUUUGACUGCAUUCAAUGUGUUAGAAAACGUUCACUUCAAUAUUUUUUUCUCACACUUCAAUCAAAAGCAGUGUGGCAACACUGAGUCUUGAUGAAAUGAAUUGGCACCCUCGGAAACUGUUCCCACUGGUAAUCGAAGCUGAUCUUGAAGGCCAUGCUUUUGUCUAUUGGAAAAACUGGAACUGAUUUCAGGAGCUGGGAAAUACGUUAUGGCCCUCAUUCAUUGUUUUGCUUUUGCAUCUUGGCAGUUUGCUGCUGCUAUUUAUAGCACAAGUGAAGGAAUUGUAGCACAAGUAACACUGACACCUGUGCUGCCCUUUUUGGUGCCAGAGUGUGUGAAGGAAGGCUGCUAUCUGGUCUUGAAAUCCAUCGAAGCAGCCUUGUUCCCAGACAUCACACAGCCUUGCCAAAAUGGCGGUUGGCACGAAGGGUCUAGAGGCAGCGACUUGAAAUAGAAUUUUCGACUUACCAUACCAGAAAUGGUUUUAUUUCCAACAAACUUUGUUGGGUGUCCUCCAGGCGAAAAGCUGCAACAUACAGCUUUAAUGUGCCUGAAGGCCCUCGCAUGGCAGCAGUAAGUCUCCUAUCGGCAAACGUAUAACAUACGAAACACUAAUCUAUUAGGGUAUACAUUUACAAUGUAGCAAAAGAAAUGUGUGAAAUCUAAAGAAACAUUCAUCUUUUCAGAUAAUUAUAUAGUAUUUGUAAAAAAAAUUCUUCUUAAUGCACAACAAAGCUAAGAUGCAUAUUAUAUGUAUUAUACAUCCCAAAGGAUCACAUUUCAAAAAUAAGCACUACAGACAUGUCUAGCAUGUACACUCGCCCACAAAAUGUUACAGGGUGCGCAAGCGUGUGGCAAAACGACCCUUCUUCCCUUCUAGCUGUGCACCCAUGGUAUCGAGUUUGCACGCAUGCGCGUCCCUCUGAGACUACAAGCGUGCAUGUUUCUGCACUUCCUCCUUGUGCGCCGGCGAUAUCCGAAUGUAGCCGUGAGGUGCCCCUCUUGCGAUGGGCGCGAAACUAUGUGAAGCCUGAGCUUGCGCGUGCCGCUGCGGCUGCUUUUUGUCGAGUCACGAGCGCCGACGCAUACGGCCCAGUGGCGAACCCAGCAAGUAAUUUUCUUUUAAUGAGCUGCACCACUUUGUGUCCAAUCUUUGUUGUUUCUUUUUAUGAAUGCGGCAUUCUCCCACAGAAGAGCAUGUCAGAAAAUGCCCCCUAUAGAAGGAGACAGUGUCAACUCCCAUUGAAGACCAGCAGUUAGGGCACAUGGACCUGUGACAGAAAAGCUGCCGGAUGGAUCUGGGACAGCGACGCUGGCCUGUACUUUCCUAUCGUCUCCAUUAUACAUGGCAACCUGCUUUCAAGUCAUUGAAGGAAAAGGUGGAGAAAGACACACGCAGUCACUUCAUUGCAAGGACAGGUACAGAGACUUGCGGCCACCUGAAAAAGAAGCAUUUCUACUUCGUCUGUCACCGGUCUGGAAGUUAUGCUUCACAAGCUACAAGUAAACAAAAGCUGAAGCGGCCUUCAAGUGUCAAGUGUGGAAAAAGAUGUUUUGCGGCAAUGGCUGUGACUGAAGACAACACAGGUGUGUAUGUGGUUUUCCAAUUCAAGCACAGAGGCCACGACUUUGAACUGGGUCGUGUUUUUCUGUCCAAGUCGGAAAGAGCUGCUAUUGCUGACAAGCUGCGAGAAGGCGUGUCCAUGGAUGCAGUGCAGUACUGGAUAAUGUGCGGUCCAACGUGGAUGAGACAUUCCACCGCAUUAACCUGUUAAGCAAGCAGGAUCUCCGCAAAAUAAUGAGGGAUGCCAGAGUCUCGAAGACCGAGCGGCUGCACGAUAAUGACUAUGUGAGCGUGCAACUCUGGGUUGAGAGGAUGCAUAGUGAAAAGGAAAACCCAUUGCUCUUCUUUAAACACCAAGGACAACCUGACAAAAAGUGACAUUUUUUUAGAGAAAAAAAUGAGGACCUUUUGGAUGACAGAGAUUUUAUGCUAGUCAUCAUGACCACACCACAACAGGAGCUUUUCAAGAGGCUUGGAACUGAUCGUAUAUGUGUCGAUGGAACACAUGGAACAGCAGGUGAGCAGUACUAUAUAAAUGCCUUAAUAAUAAAAGCAAGAAAGAGGGAAUGCUGUCCAAGAAUAAUUGCAAUAGAUAUGAUGAGUAGUAUUCCUUCACACAUGA